AGAGUUUGAUCCUGGCUCAGAAUAAACGCUGGCGGCGUGCCUAACACAUGCAAGUCGAGCGAGAAAGCUCCUUCGGGAGUAAGUAAAGCGGCAGACGGGUGAGUAACGCGUGAGAAUCUACCUUCUAGUGGAGAAUACCUUCGAGAAAUCGAAGCUAAUACUGCAUAAGUCCCUUCGGGGAGAAAGAUGGCCUCUUUGCUGUCGCUGGAAGAUGAGCUUGCGUGCUAUUAGCUAGUUGGUAAGGUAAAGGCUUACCAAGGCGAUGAUAGCUAGCCGGCCUGAGAGGGUGUACGGACACACUGGAACUGAAACACGGUCCAGACUCCUACGGGAGGCAGCAGUGGGGAAUUUUGCGCAAUGGGGGAAACCCUGACGCAGCAACGCCGCGUGGAGGAUGAAGCCCCUUGGGGUGUAAA
rnacentral:rRNA from 1 species